UAAUAAAAGUUUUUCCAGGUUGAGGAAAAAUAAAUAAGAUUCCUUACAGUCCAGAGGCACAAUGACUUCUAACCAGAAUAAAUACAAAUAAAGUUAUGCCAAUAAUAUCCAACUGAAACUGCUGGACACCAGAGGCAACAAAAAAAUAAAGACAAUCAGGAGAAAGAAGAUUACCAGGAAAGAAAAGGUGAGAGGGAGGAAGAGAUUAACUACACAGAAAUAGCAUUUGGGCUGCAGCAGAUAUCUCAAAAACAGUAAGAAAGCUUAGAAAAUAAAAAUAAAUAAUAGUCUCACAAUGCUUAGAGGAAAUAACUACCAGUUUAGAGUUCUGUACCCCACUAAAUAAUUCUUCAGGAGUUGUGGGGGAGGGUGGAGAUAUUUUCAGAUAGAGGACUUUUCAUUUACUGGAUUUUUGUUUUUAGUCACUAGAGACUCCAUCAUUUAAAGUACUGCUCAGUAAUUGACUAUCGGAAGAAGAAAAUUGUACCCAGACGGUAGGAACAGAAUUCAUAAAUGGAUGGUCUGUGCUUCCCUGCUAACCAGCCCUCUGUCCCUCAAGACAUUUAUGACCUGUUCCAACAACUGAAAAAUGGGGAGUUAGAGUACACAGUAUAUGAAGGCUUAUAUUCCUCCUGACAUAAAUGUCUACUUUAGAAUCAAGAUCUGAAGAGAACGAUCAUCUUUACCUCUACUCUGCUUGCAUCUUCCUUGGCCCUACAUUGAGCAAAUUCCAUCGAUAACAGUUGCUUUGACGGAAGACUGUAGCAGGUUAUAAUGCCAGUGAGUAGAGAAGCCCUUUGAGGAACUGUAAUGAAUUCCUCAUAGCACACAGACAGAUGUGCUAUGUCCCGGCAAGGGAAGUAUCCAAUGGCCAGCCUUCAGAGUACAGUCAGUGUGAUGUUUUGCCCGGAGACUGUUAUUAUCCCAAAUGAGAAGGAGUGUGUGGUACUAUUAGAAACGAAUACGUCAAGCUAUAGUCAAACACCAGGAGAUAAAUAGAACGAACAUACUUUUCUCCAGAAAAAAGGUUACCAGAUUACUUACUUCAUUGAACAAAGGAGCAAGUUAGAAAACCACCCUGUUAACUCCCUCAUGCACUUGUGACAAAGACCUUCCUUCAAUCAAAUCGUGGAUACAACUGCUUCCUACCAUUCUUUUCAUCAUUCUCUCGGGCCAUUAUUUGCAAGUCAAGUGGGUAAUUCAUAGAGAGACACAGCGAGAGAGGGAACACAAGCA